rnacentral:lncRNA from 1 species
AAAUUUAAAAUUUAAAUGCAAAUUCAAAAUAUUAAAAUCAAAAUAAAAAAUUUAAGUUUGAAAUCAAAACUUAGAUUAAAUUUAAAAUUUAAAAUUUAAAAUUUAAUUCAAAUUCAAAAUUUUAAUUUAUAUUUAGUUUAAAAUUUUAAUUUUAAUAUUAAUUUCAAAUGUAAAUUCAAAAUUUUAAAUUUUUAUUUUUGGAGAAAUAAAUUUUAAAAAAAUACAAAGUUUAUGGAUCAAAAUUGAUAUGCAAAAAAAAGCUAAGUAGGCACUAACAUGGCAAUUUUAUUACUUUUAAUAUAUCUUUUAACGACUGGAACGUAAUCGCAAUGAGAUCAAGAUAUGCGAACUUGAGGGCUUCUUUAAGAUUUGAAAUUUAUAUAAAUUUAGUUGAAAAUAUGAAGUAAUUAAAUUUCGAACUGGAGAUCUCGGAUACUAAUUAUCAAAUCUUUUGCAACUUGCGCUAGUAACCAUUAGUAAAAAUAUUUUAUUAUUUAAAAAAAUAUUUACUGUGCA